GAGAGGAAGCGGCGGCCUGGGAGUCCUUUGUCCUGACGGUCAGUUCUGUAUCUGAUCUAUCCGGGCUGCACAAAUACCUCCUUGUGAUAAAAUCUCAUCGAAGGAGACCCACGUACAAAUGAGUGCGAGUAGUAACUGGUGAGGUGGAAGAGAGUGAAGCCUAGCAGCCAGGCUGAUGUUUGUGCCGAGGUCAAUUUCCUACUUCUGAUAAUGUGGACAGUUAUGUAAGACAUCUGAACGGCACGAGGACAGCUCCUCACAAUUUCUGUAACAUCUCUAGAGUCUAUAAUUAGUUCAAGAUAAACAGUUAAAAAAAAAGAAAAGAAAAAAGGAAAACCUGUGCAAGAGGGUGGGGCUCGGAGCUUCCCACAAGCUAAGAGGAAGGACCAGCUUCCCCACGGGCGGCCCUGGGUGAGGCCGCCCCACUACCUUAGUAGGAAGCUCUUCUGUUCCAAAGGCAGGGAACUCUGUGUGCUUCGUUUUGUUUGUUUUUGGCAGAAUAUCAACAACAAUGGAGUUCUGUGGUAACUUGAAGGCAUCUGCAAGAACAGCCAAACCCCUGACAGGCUACAAUUCUCUAUUUCAAAAUAAUGACCAGCUUUCUGAAGACUACGCCUAGCAAUCAUCUCCCUUCCCACUGUGGAAAAGAAAGAUGCUUGCAGUUCUUCAGCAUGACCGGCUUAUAAUGAUACUGCAAAACACCCAGAGCACAAAGCAAAUGCCAGAGUUUACGUGGGGUCAGGGAGUCCAAGGACACCACGAAAAUGUAAAUGGCCAAAGGGGUGGGAGUUUGCCCUGCUCAACAGCCCCCGAGGGCUUGGAAAAGGUGUGGGCGCUCUGGAGUAUUAAACUGACCGGAAACGUCCUCUUGGGGCCCCAGAUGAACAACUAUUUCCUCUCUUCACCAAAAAAACAUCUGAAGACAAAGAACAGGCCCGACAUCAUCUUUCAGACGAGAACAAAUUGGAAGGUCCUGGUUCCUGGAUAAAGGCACGUGCAGUCAGCGCUCACCAGCCUGACCGAGGAUGGUUCCCGGUACCUCCCAAGUGUCAGUCAAGGAUGAACAUCCAUCUGCACUUCAGACAGAGAGAGACACAGCGAGAGAGGGAACACAAGCAGGCGGAAUGAGAGGGAGAAGCAGGCCUCCCGCAGAGCAGAGAGCCCGAUGCGGGGCUUGAUCCCAGGACCCCGGGACCAUGACCUGAGCUGAAGGCAGACGCUUAACCGACUGAGCCACCCAGGCGCCCCUUUAAAGAUUUAUUUGAGAGACAGAGAAUGAGAGAGAGAGAGCACAAGAGUGGAGAGGGUCAGAGGGAGAAGCAGACUCCCUGCUGAGCAGGGAGCCUGGACGCGGGGCUCGAUCCCAGGACCCCGGGAUCAUGACCUGAUCCGAAGGCGGACGCUCCACGACUGAGCCACCCAGGCGCCCCACUUCUUGUCUUUACACUAAGGGAAGGGGGCGUGUGGGGGGGAAGCAAAAGCCCUUAAAAAGAUAAAGUGUAACUCUUACUCCAUCACUUUUUUUUUUUUUAAGAUUUUUAUUUAUUUAUUCAUGAGAGACAGAGAGAGAGAGGCAGAGGGAGAAGCAGGCUCCCAAGGAGCAGAGAGCCCGAUGCGGGACUCGAUCCCAGGACUCUGGGAUCAUGACCUGAGCCGAAGGCAGACGCUCAACCAUCUGAGCCACCCAGGCGCCCACUCCAUCACUUUUGACCAACUCUGCAAGACCAGUAGGUCUUAACUUUACUUACUUUUUAUCAUUAUUUUUUUUAAAACCUUUUGUCAUGUCAAUGUUUGAUUAUUCAUAAGAGCAGGGCAACCCUCUCGGAUCCCCUCCCUCCUCAGGAGCUUACCUUGCUUUGCUGCCCAGCAAAACAAUAAGAAAAUAAAACAUAUUUGUAAGAGUAGAGCCCCACAGCCCAUGUGCCCAUCAGCCAGGUCCAACAGUUACCAACACAUGUGGAUGGAGCGCUUGUCCCCUACAGCCCACCUCUGAUCUUUCUGAACUGGACACUUGAGAGGCCUGUGGCUGGAUCUGCCUUGUCUCUGCUGGUGUUCACUUAGGAAUCAGCACUCUCCUUCUCCUUCUUCCUUUUUUUUGACAUCACAUCCAAACAAGCUAAGCUCCAUUAUAAAUUUUAUAAAGGAAGAGUGUGAACGAAAUUCAUUAAGUUUAUAAAGACCAGUUGUGAGUGAGAUUAGAGUAGGUUUUGAAACAUCCAACAAACCCUAUGGAUGCCAACGUAUUUCCGUCUGCAAUUCAGUUCCACUGCUUUAGGUGCUGUUCUGACAACUUCUCACCUGGGUUUCUGGAGCCCUCUCCAACUUUCUUUCCUCGACGCUGCAAGAGACAUCCUUCUAAAAUAUCUCCUGAAAAUGCCAUUCCCCUGCUUUGAACUGCUGAAUGACUCCUCAGGACUUUAGAACAAAGCUAGGACAGCUCUUCAGUCCGCCACCUCUGGUGUUACCUCUCUCCAAAUCCUACAUCCAGGAUCUGUUCUCCAGUCACAGUGCUGAUCUUCUGUGCACACUGUUCGUCUGCCCUUCUUCCUCUAGUAACCCCUGUGUGCCUUCAAAGCCCACUCUACUUGAUCUUGCCAUGCACACUGCUCAGUCCUCACUGAGCCACUGGUGAGACCCACCCCCAGACCGGGAAGGGCCUGAGGGCCUACACUUGUUUUUAUCGCCUUUGUUUUCCCAGGACAAAGCAUAGUGCCUGGCAUAAAAUAAACACAUUCACAUGUCUGAAUAAAUUUCCAAA